CCUACGGGAGGCAGCAGUGGGGAAUAUUGCGCAAUGGGCGAAAGCCUGACGCAGCGACGCCGCGUGAGGGAUGAAGGUCUUCGGAUCGUAAACCUCUGUCAGCAGGGAAGAACGGUCACUGUGCUAAUCAGCAGUGAAUUGACGGUACCUGCAAAGGAAGCACCGGCUAACUCCGUGCCAGCAGCCGCGGGAAUACGGGGGGUGCGUGGGUUAAUCGGAUUUACUGGGCGUAAGGCGCGCGUAGGCGGUAUGUCAAGUCAGGGGUAAAAUACCGCGCUUAACGUGGGAACUGCCUUUGAAACUGGCAAUCUGGAGUGUGUGAGAGGUAAGUGGAAUGCCUGGUGUAGAGGUGAAAUCCGUAGAUAUCUGGAGGAACAUCAGUGGCGAAGGCGACUAUCUGGCACAUAACUGACGCUGAGGAGCGAAAGCGUGGGUAGCAAACAGGAUUAGAUACCCGAGUAGUC
rnacentral:rRNA from 1 species